rnacentral:rRNA from 1 species
GCAGAGCACGUCCUACGGGAGGCAGGCAGUGGGGAAUAUUGCACAAUGGGCGCAAGCCUGAUGCAGCCAUGCCGCGUGUAUGAAGAAGGCCUUCGGGUUGUAAAGGUACUUUCAGCAGUGAGGAAGGUGGGUAUGUUAAUAGCAUACUCAUUUGACGUUAGCUGCAGAAGAAGCACCGGCUAACUCCGUGCCAGCAGCCGCGGUAAUACGGAGGGUGCGAGCGUUAAUCGGAAUUACUGGGCGUAAAGCGCAUGCAGGUGGUUUGUUAAGUCAGAUGUGAAAGCCCGGGGCUCAACCUCGGAAUUGCAUUUGAAACUGGCAAACUAGAGUACUGUAGAGGGGGUAGAAUUUCAGGUGUAGCGGUGAAAUGCGUAGAGAUCUGAAGGAAUACCGGUGGCGAAGGCGGCCCCCUGGACAGAUACUGACACUCAGAUGCGAAAGCGUGGGGAGCAAACAGGAUUAGAUACCCUGGUAG